AGUGAACGCUGGCGGUAGGCCUAACACAUGCAAGUCGAACGGCAGCACAGUAAGAGCUUGCUCUUACGGGUGGCGAGUGGCGGACGGGUGAGGAAUACAUCGGAAUCUACUUUUUCGUGGGGGAUAACGUAGGGAAACUUACGCUAAUACCGCAUACGACCUACGGGUGAAAGCAGGGGAUCUUCGGACCUUGCGCGAUUGAAUGAGCCGAUGUCGGAUUAGCUAGUUGGCGGGGUAAAGGCCCACCAAGGCGACGAUCCGUAGCUGGUCUGAGAGGAGGAUCAGCCACACUGGAACUGAGACACGGUCCAGACUCCUACGGGAGGCAGCAGUGGGGAAUAUUGGACAAUGGUCGCAAGCCUGAUCCAGCCAUACCGCGUGGGUGAAGAAGGCCUUCGGGUUGUAAAGCCCUUUUGUUGGGAAAGAAAAGCAGCAGGUUAAGACCCCGCUGUUCUGACGGUACCCAAAGAAUAAGCACCGGCUAACUUCGUG
rnacentral:rRNA from 1 species